rnacentral:rRNA from 1 species
CACGUAGGGUGCGAGCGUUGUCCGGAAUUAUUGGGCGUAAAGAGCUCGUAGGCGGUGUGUCGCGUCGGCCGUGAAAACCUGCAGCUUAACUGUGGGCGUGCGGUCGAUACGGGCAUCACUGGAGUUCGGCAGGGGAGACUAGAAUUCCUGGUGUAGCGGUGAAAUGCGCAGAUAUCAGGAGGAACACCGGUGGCGAAGGCGGUUCUCUGGGCAUUACCUGACGCUGAGGAGCGAAAGUGUGGGGAGCGAACAGG